CCCAGGCGCUCAUUAAAACAGCAGGUUGCUCCACACUGCCUCGUGUUGUCUGUUGGCACACUCUCAAGAGUUUGAACGGAUACAAGAAUCUUUCAUCUGGUGCCGAAACCCCGGGAGGGGCUCCGGUCUUCGUCCCCCGUGGACCUACCCCUCCGCCCCAGAAAGCAGGCCACAGCAGCCGGACAAAGGAAGCUCCUCAGCCUCCAGUUGCUUCUCUGUGCAUGCACAUCAGUCACUGAUCUCACCUACUGGCCCAGUCCCAAGGCACAAGGCCACUUGUGCCAGCAGUGUGAGUCAGCAAGAUAGCAGAAGCAGGAAGAGAGCCGGCCAGAAGACACCUACUCUGACUGGGAGACACGUACCCCUGAAGAUUGAGAAAGAGGCCAUCCAGGGAGUGAAGAUGGAAUGAGAAGAACAGAGAAACAAUGACAGAGUCCUUACAAACACCAUGAUACAAGAAGGCAAUGGGGAUAUGUUAUGAACAGAAAACCAAGUGGGAGUACUGUCACUGAGGAUGAGUUUCCAGAGAGAAUUAAUGCUGAAGAAGCUAUUGCAGACACUGCUGAGUAUGAAGAACUAAUUCAGACACUGCUGAGUAUGAAGAACUAAUUGGAGAAGGAAGCCGUUGUAUAGCAGAUGCAGAGCAGCAGAAAAAAUGGUAAUGACAAUAGAAGAUAAAUUAGAAAAUUUGGAAAAACCCAAACAGAUCAGCCAUAUUGAAGGGAAAAAGAAAAACAAAACAAAGUGGGAGAGGGCAGAAAUGUAGAACGGUAUACAUUCUUUUAACCCCAAGAAUGAAUGUAGCCAAGAACACAGUGGGGACUUAGGAGUCUCAGCACAGAGCAUUCUCUACUCCCUACUGCUCAGGCAAAGAACUCCUUCAUCAUGCAGAACCAAAACUGGUGUAGAGUCUUAAAUGACCUGGGUAUCUCUACGCAGAAGAAAGUGCUUUCCAUGUAAAAGGAUUAACUUGAACCUGGGUGCUCAAGGGACACCCUAGGCUGCUUAUCCCACUGAUUCUGAUCUGACUGUGUUAAGUAAUAAAUCAUGUGGUUACAUAUUCACAUUA
rnacentral:sRNA from 1 species